rnacentral:rRNA from 1 species
GUCGAACGGCAGCAUGGGAGCUUGCUCCUGAUGGCGAGUGGCGAACGGGUGAGUAAUAUAUCGGAACGUACCCUAGAGUGGGGGAUAACGCAGCGAAAGUUGCGCUAAUACCGCAUACGAUCUACGGAUGAAAGUGGGGGAUCGCAAGACCUCAUGCUCAUGGAGCGGCCGAUAUCUGAUUAGCUAGUUGGUGGGGUAAAGGCCUACCAAGGCUUCGAUCAGUAGCUGGUCUGAGAGGACGACCAGUCACACUGGAACUGAGACACGGUCCAGACUCCUACGGGAGGCAGCAGUGGGGAAUUUUGGACAAUGGGGGCAACCCUGAUCCAGCCAUUCCGCGUGAGUGAAGAAGGCCUUCGGGUUGUAAAGCUCUUUCAGCUGGAACGAAACGGUCCGCUCUAACAUAGCGGGCUAAUGACGGUACCAGCAGAAGAAGCCCCGGCUAACUCCGUGCCAGCAGCCGCGGUAAUACGGAGGGGGCUAGCGUUGUUCGGAAUUACUGGGCGUAAAGCGCACGUAGGCGGACCGGAAAGUCAGAGGUGAAAUCCCAGGGCUCAACCUUGGAACUGCCUUUGAAACUCCUGGUCUUGAGGUCGAGAGAGGUGAGUGGAAUUCCGAGUGUAGAGGUGAAAUGCGUAGAGAUCUGGAGGAAUACCGGUGG